UACUUAGGGGGCAAGCGUUGUCCGGAUUUAUUGGGCGUAAAGAGCGUGUAGGCGGCCAAGCAGGUCAGCUGUGAAAACUCGAGGCUCAACCUCGAGACGUCGGUUGAAACCGCUUGGCUAGAGUCCGGAAGAGGAGAGUGGAAUUCCCGGUGUAGCGGUGAAAUGCGCAGAUAUCGGGAAGAACACCCGUGGCGAAGGCGGUUCUCUGGGCCGAUAUUGACGCUGAGGAGCGAAAGCGUGGGGAGCAAACAGG
rnacentral:rRNA from 1 species